AAAACCCUAUUCAUUUGGCACCCAAAUGUCAUAUAGCCGGAACUGGGGCUUAUAAAGUUUACUGUUUUAUAACUUUUAAAAGGAAAGACGGCAUCAGUGUAAGCAGUCGGUAAAUGUGCAAAUCUCUAGUUGCGCUUUAGCUGCUCUGAGGAGUUUCCCAAUCGAGCUAGGAUGGGAAUUCCACCCACGCACCCAUUCCCCCUCCCAGCGCUUCAGACACCUCUCUCAUCGAAAAACCGGGCGAAGGGAAGCCGGCAACGAGCGGAGAACUCUGGCUGAAUUAACGGUGGCUCCCAGAAGCUCCUGCCCCUCUGACAGCUGUCGCUUGGGCAGCCCGAGAGAAGAAUCGUCCUCUUUCCUGGUGCCAGAGGACGCAGGAAAUUAGCCAGGUUGCGAGUUGCAAAGCUGCCGCCGCGGCGCCGGGAACCGGGCGCGCCCAAUCUCCAGCGGUAGCCGCCAGGCCUGGCCUGGCCGGGGCUUCCCUUCGCUCGCCAUCUCCGGACAAAGCACAGCCGAGCCCGGCUGGAAGGCAGAGCUCCGAAGGAGGCAGGACGGAGCGGAGCAAAAGAAUGCGGCUCUAUUCUCGCAAGGGAAAUUAUAAAAAAGUUCAUGUUCACGGUUCUCAUCCACAUGACCGACAGUGGCCAAUGGAAGGGCCGAACAACUCAUAAAGUUGUAUUGCAAAGU
rnacentral:antisense_RNA from 1 species